AAUAUUGGACAAUGGGGGGAACCCUGAUCCAGCCAUGCCGCGUGUGUGAAGUAGGUCUUCGGAUUGUAAAGCACUUGAAGUUGGGAGGAAGGGUUGUAGGUUAAUACCCUGCAAUUUUGACGUUACCAACAGAAUAAGCACCGGCUAACUUCGUGCCAGCAGCCGCGGUAAUACGAAGGGUGCAAGCGUUAAUCGGAAUUACUGGGCGUAAAGCGUGCGUAGGUGGUUCGUUAAGUUGGAAGUGACAGCCCCGGGCUCAACCUGGGAACUGCUUUCAAAACUGGCAAGCUAGAGUACGGUAGAGGGUAGUGGAAUUUCCUGUGUAGCGGUGAAAUGCGUAGAUAUAGGAAGGAACAUCAGUGGCGAAGGCGACUACCUGGACUGAUACUGACACUGAGGUGCGAAAGCGUGGGGAGCAAACAGG
rnacentral:rRNA from 1 species